UACGUAGGGGGCGAGCGUUGUUCGGAAUUACUGGGCGUAAAGCGCACGUAGGCGGCUUUGUAAGUUAGAGGUGAAAGCCCGGAGCUCAACUCCGGAAUUGCCUUUAAGACUGCAUCGCUAGAAUUGUGGAGAGGUAAGUGGAAUUCCGAGUGUAGAGGUGAAAUUCGUAGAUAUUCGGAAGAACACCAGUGGCGAAGGCGACUUACUGGACACAUAUUGACGCUGAGGUGCGAAAGCGUGGGGAGCAAACAGG
rnacentral:rRNA from 1 species